UACGUAGGGGGCUAGCGUUGUCCGGAAUCAUUGGGCGUAAAGCGCGUGUAGGCGGCCCGGUAAGUCCGCUGUGAAAGUCCAGGGCUCAACCCUGGGAUGCCGGUGGAUACUGUCGGGCUCGAGUCCGGAAGAGGCGAGUGGAAUUCCUGGUGUAGCGGUGAAAUGCGCAGAUAUCAAGCAGAACACCUGCGGCGAAGGCGGCCUUCUGGACGAUGACUGACGCUGAGACACGAAAGCGUGGGGAGCAAACAGG
rnacentral:rRNA from 1 species